rnacentral:rRNA from 1 species
AUUGAACGCUGGCGGCAUGCCUUACACAUGCAAGUCGAACGGCAGCACGGGAACAAUCCUGGUGGCGAGUGGCGAACGGGUGAGUAAAGUAUCGGAACGUGCCCAGUCGUGGGGGAUAACGUAGCGAAAGGUACGCUAAUACCGCAUACGAUCUAUGGAUGAAAGCGGGGGAUCGCAAGACCUCGCGCGCUUGGAGCGGCCGAUAUCAGAUUAGGUAGGUGGUGGGGUAAAGGCUCACCAAGCCGACGAUCUGUAGCUGGUCUGAGAGGACGACCAGCCACACUGGGACUGAGACACGGCCCAGACUCCUACGGGAGGCAGCAGUGGGGAAUUUUGGACAAUGGGCGAAAGCCUGAUCCAGCCAUGCCGCGUGCAGGAUGAAGGCCUUCGUGUUGUAAACUGCUUUUGUACGGAACGAAAAGGUUUGGCCUAAUAAGCUGAGCUCAUGACGGUACCGUAAGAAUAAGCACCGGCUAACUACGUGCCAGCCGCCGCCGUAA